rnacentral:rRNA from 1 species
CCUACGGGAGGCAGCAGUAAGGAAUAUUGGUCAAUGGACGCAAGUCUGAACCAGCCAUGCCGCGUGCAGGAUGACGGCCCUCUGGGUUGUAAACUGCUUUUAUACGGGAAGAAACCUCUGGUUGCGAUCAGAGCUGACGGUACCGUAAGAAUAAGGACCGGCUAACUUCGUGCCAGCAGCCGCGGUAAUACGAAGGGUCCAAGCGUUAUCCGGAUUUAUUGGGUUUAAAGGGUGCGUAGGCGGCUUAUUAAGUCAGUGGUGAAAGACUUCAGCUUAACUGAAGAACUGCCAUUGAUACUGAUGAGCUUGAAUAUACUUGAGGUGGGCGGAAUGUGUCAUGUAGCGGUGAAAUGCUUAGAUAUGACACAGAACACCGAUUGCGAAGGCAGCUCGCUAAAGUAUGAUUGACGCUGAUGCACGAAAGCGUGGGGAGCAAACAGGAUUAGAUACCCUGGUAGUCCACGCCCUAAACGUUGAUAACUCGAUGUGUGCGAUAUACAGUACGCGUCCAAGCGAAAGCAUUAAGUUAUCCACCUGGGAAGUACGGUCGCAAGAUUGAAACCUNAAAGAUUGACGNGNGAGAGNGCGAGGCGACACAGGGAGAGG